AAUCUUGCACAAUGGGCGAAAGCCUGAUGCAGCGACGCCGCGUGAGUGAAGACGUACUUCGGUAUGUAAAGCUCUAUCAGCAGGGAAGAUAAUGACGAUACCUGACGAAGACGCAUAGGCUAACUACGUACCAGCAGCCGCGGUCAUACGUAGGGGCCAAGCGUGAUCCGGAUUUACUGUGUGUAAAGGGAGCGUAGGUGGUAGUGUAAGUCAGAUGUGAAAGCCCGUUGCUUAACAGCGGGAUUGCAUCAGAAACUAUAUUACUAGAGUGCAGAAGAGGUAAGUGGAAUUCCUAGUGUAGCGGUGAAAUGCGUAGAUAUUAGGAGGAACAUCAGUGGCGAAGGCGGCUUACUGGACUGUAACUGACACUAAGGCUCGAAAGCGUGGGGAGCAAACA
rnacentral:rRNA from 1 species